CAGUCGCCACGGUAAUACGAAGGGUGCAAGCGUUACUCGGAAUUACUGGGCGUAAAGCGUGCGUAGGUGGUUGUUUAAGUCUGCUGUGAAAGCCCUGGGCUCAACCUGGGAAUUGCAGUGGAUACUGGGCAACUAGAGUAAGGUAGAGGAUAGUGGAAUUUCCGGUGUAGCAGUGAAAUGCGUAGAGAUCGGAAGGAACAUCUGUGGCGAAGGCGACUAUCUGGGCCAUUACUGACACUGAGGCACGAAAGCGUGGGGAGCAAACAGGAUUAGAUACCCCCGUAGUCCCUGUCUCUUAUAA
rnacentral:rRNA from 1 species